UACGUAGGGUGCAAGCGUUAAUCGGAAUUACUGGGCGUAAAGCGUGCGCAGGCGGCUUUGCAAGACAGAUGUGAAAUCCCCGGGCUCAACCUGGGAACUGCGUCCGAUACUGGCAGGCUUGAAUUCGGGAGAGGGAUGCGGAAUUCCAGGUGUAGCGGUGAAAUGCGUAGAUAUCUGGAGGAACACCGGUGGCGAAGGCGGCAUCCUGGACCGAAAUUGACGCUGAGGCGCGAAAGCCAGGGGAGCAAACGGG
rnacentral:rRNA from 1 species